UACGUAGGCAGCAAGCGUUGUUCGGAGUUACUGGGCGUAAAGGGUGUGUAGGCGGUUCCUUAAGUUUGCUGUGAAAUCUCCCGGCUUAACCGGGAGGGUGCGGUGAAUACUGAGGGACUAGAGUACGGGAGAGGAAAGUGGAAUUCCUGGUGUAGCGGUGAAAUGCGUAGAUAUCAGGAGGAAUACCAGUGGCGAAAGCGGCACCCUAGCAUUUUUCUGACGCUCAUGUGCGAAAGCGUGGGGAGCGAACGGG
rnacentral:rRNA from 1 species